GUGACACUGACCUGAUCUCUCUUCACCUGGUGAACCUGAACUCUGAGCUUCAGCGAUGGCUCUUCUGGAUUGCACCUUAGAAGCCGCUAUAAAUUGGCAUGACACCCACGCUAAAAAACUGUUUGACAAGCACGCUGUCGACGGCAAGUUGACCAAGGACCAGCUGAAUAAGCUCGUACAGGAGGACUCUAACAAUGAAAUGAUGAAAACGAAAAUGGCAGCAGGUGGCUGUGAGAGGAUGAAGCAAUGGAUGGAAAAGAACUGCAUCAACACGAUGGACUUUGAGGUCUUCUCUCGGUGGUUGAAUAUGGUGGCCUACACCAGAUACUGUAAGGCCAAAUGCCAACAAGGUGGCAGCUGUGCACAAGCCUGCAAAUAAAACCUUUAAAGGAUUGCCGUCAAAAUCGAA